GCUGGUGUAGCUCAGUUGGUAGAGCGACAGUUUCGUAAACUGUAGGUCGCCAGUUCAAUCCUGGCCACCAGCU
rnacentral:tRNA from 1 species